CAAACUCCGAAUGCCGUCAUCUUAUACUUGGGAGUCAGACUGUGGGUGAUAAGAUUCAUAGUCGAAAGGGCAACAGCCCAGAUCGUCAGCUAAGGUCCCUAAAUGUAAGUUAAGUGGUAAAGGAUGUGGGAUUGCACAGACAACCAGGAUGUUGGCUUAGAAGCAGCCACUCAUUCAAAGAGUGCGUAAUAGCUCACUGGUCGAGUGAUCCUGCGCCGAAGAUUUCCGGGGCUAAAACUUACUACCGAAGCUACGGCAUCAGUAAUGAUGGGUAGGGGAGCUUCCCAUACGGGUUGAAGCAUGACCGUAAGGACAUGUGGACAGUAUGGGAGUGAGAAUGUUGGCAUGAGUAGCGAGAUGUGGGUGAGAAUCCCACAGGCCGUAAACCCAAGGUUUCCAGGGGAAGGUUCGUCCGCCCUGGGUUAGUCGGGACCUAAGCUGAGGCCGAAAGGCGUAGGUGAUGGACAACAGGUUGAU
rnacentral:rRNA from 1 species